rnacentral:rRNA from 1 species
AACGAACGCUGGCGGCAUGCCUAACACAUGCAAGUCGAACGAAGGCUUCGGCCUUAGUGGCGCACGGGUGCGUAACGCGUGGGAAUCUGCCCUUUGGUUCGGAAUAACAGCUGGAAACGGCUGCUAAUACCGGAUGAUGACGAAAGUCCAAAGAUUUAUCGCCAGAGGAUGAGCCCGCGUUGGAUUAGGUAGUUGGUGGGGUAAAGGCCUACCAAGCCGACGAUCCAUAGCUGGUCUGAGAGGAUGAUCAGCCACACUGGGACUGAGACACGGCCCAGACUCCUACGGGAGGCGGGAGUGGGGGAUAUUGGAACAUGGGGGGAAGGCUGAACCAGCAAUGGCGGGUGAGUGAUGAAGGCCCUAGGGUUGUAAAGCUCUUUUACCCGGGAAGAUAAUGACUGUACCGGGAGAAUAAGCCCCGGCUAACUCCGUG